rnacentral:lncRNA from 1 species
GUCAGCCGCGCUGGCUGCCUGUGACGUGAUGACACUGGCGGCACGGAGGUGAAGCGCAAAGCUUGAAGCGGCAUGCUCAGACAAAGCCGUGCUGCGUGCAGGGACCCCUGGCAUGGUACACAACCCGCUGCUGUGCUCAGGGAGGCUGCCAGCGGCGUGCUGGCUGCCUGGCAGCCCACACUCAGCAGCUAUCGGCGGCAAAGCUGCUGCAUUCUUGAUGAUCUGCAUGUGUGCAGGCACCCUGGCUUCAGCUGAGACAACCUGGGCGGAACAAAGGCAGGUAGCGUACCUCAUCAUACAGCCGAGUCCAUGGCCGCAUGGGCCAAUGGUACAUCAUGUUGUCCUCGCGACCAAUCUGUCCUUGGGCUGGUGUGGUGUGUCUUAUGUGGUCCAGGACAAACGCCAGAGCGGCAUCAUGGCACAUGCCCCUGAUCCGCUCUUUGUACUCGUUUGUCUUCAUCGCCAAUCCUUCACGGAUGUACCUCUUAAGGCUCUCCUCCUUGGCGCCACUACCAAGCAUUCCGACUAGCGUCCUCUCCACCUGUGAGGACGGAGACAAUCUGUUUGCGCGCCGAACACUUCUCAGCAACAACCUGGCACAGUAUUCACCUGAUUGCCAGCCGAGAAUCUCAUUGAUACGAGAUCGUCUGGCUUGCUGCGCCUUGGAACUGUGGCAACCCACUCAAUGCCAUCUACAACAACUACGAAGGUUUCUCCGGCGCGGCACUGUGCAAGUUCACACGCAAAGUUAAACACUUCACGUUUAAGGCGUUGGCCUACGUACGGCCUGUGUGUCGAAGGAGCUAAGACCCCCAGCAGGGGCAGAAGCAGGGGGCGAGGCAGCCAGGAGCAAGGGAAAGGGCUUGGAGCAAAGCCCCCCAGGGGCAGGGGCAGGGGCAGGGGCAAGCAUAGCUUGUGUAGCUAGUAUUGCCUUUAAGUUGUUGCAUUUAAGCUUGUGAGUUGGUGGCCUGGUUUAUGCUUAUGGGCGACAAUUGCAUGACUGGGUGACAGGGGUGACAAUAAUGCGCGCAGGCUUGAGAGUGGGACUUCUGGGCCCAUAAUACAUUGAAAGGCCGAGUGAGAGGGGUGACAACAUUGCGUGAUGGCUGUUGUGGAUGGUGGGUGACAGGGGUGACAACAUUGCGCGCAGGCUUGUGUGGAUGCCAGGUGACAGAUCUGACAAAUUGGGUACACAUGUGUGAAUGCUGCGUGACAACAAAGCGUGCAGGCUUGUGUGAAUGCUGCUUGACAUUGGUGGCAUUGGUGACACAAACAUUGUUGUGAAUGCCGGGUGGUGACGCUGACGUUGAUGACACAAACAUUGUUGUGAAUGCCGGGUGACAGGGGUGACAGCCUUGUGCAGGAAGGUUUAUGCAGAUUACAGGUGACAGGUGUGAUGGCCUUGUGCAGUCAAGGAAUGCCAGGUGACACGGGUGACAGUGGUGUGCACACAUGGACAAGGAUAAAUUUAGGUAUUUUAGGUAUAUACCUGAAUCAUAUAUGAAUAUGCUUAAUGGCAUGGUGCCAAGAUGACGUGGGAGGCAGUGAUAACAGUACUGUCCCAGGUGUGUAGGCAUGCAGGCAGGGUGCUAGGUAUGAUGAAUACCUGACCAUUAACCCACCUGACCAUUAAUCCAAUUAACCGACCGUUAACCCAACUGAUCAUUAACCCAACCGGCCGUUAACCCAACCGGCCGUUAACCCAACCGGCCGUUAACCCAACCGCCCGUUAACCCAACCGACCGUUAACCCAACCGACCGUUAACCCAACUGGCCGUUAACCCAACCGACCGUUAACCCAACCGGGCCGUUAACGCCAUUCAACCGGCCGGUUGGGUUAAUGGGCCCCAAACGGUCGGUAACCGGCAUGUUUAUGCCAUAGGGCUUCCUUGUGUUUGAGUUUGGUUAGCUAUGGGAAGCGACUUGCAAGCAGGACUUCCUUGUGUUUGAGUUUGGUUAGCUAUGGGACGCGACUUGCAAGCAGGACUUCCUUGUGUUUGAGUUUGGUUAGCUAUGGGAAGCGACUUGCAAGCAGAACUUCCUUGUGUUUGAGUUUGAUUUGCUAUGGGACGCGCCUUAUAUGCAGGACUUCCUUGUGUUUGAGUUUGGUUUGCUAUGGGACGCGACUUGCAAGCAGGACUUCCUUGUGUUUGAGUUUGGUUAGCUAUGGGACGCGACUUAUAAGCAGAACUUCCUUGUGUUUGAGUUUGGUUAGCUAUGGGACGCGACUUGCAAGCAGGACUUCCUUGUGUUUGAGUUUGGUUUGCUAUGGGACGCGACUUGCAAGCAGAACCUCCUUGUGUUUGUUUGAGUUUCCAUGUAAGCAACUAUGGACAACUAAACCAUCCAUCCUUGGCCUGUUUUGCAGUCCUGUCAGUAUUCCAAGUUCUGCACCUGCAGCCUCAUUUUACAGCAGAACACCCAAAUCUAAUCCUCCAACUGGUUCCCAAUCCUAUGGCAGCGACCUCAUCCUAANNNNNNNNNNNNNNNNNNNNNNNNNNNNNNNNNNNNNNNNNNNNNNNNNNGGCCUUCGCCGAAGGCGAGACUCCCGAUAGGACACCACCGCACCAGCCAUGCGGCGGAUCUCUCGCUCAAGGUGUGCUUCAUCAUUGGGCAGCAGUCUCCUCCUCUCGACGGGGCUGCACGAGCAGCCGCCUCACCGCCACGGGCGUCCUCAGGCGCCGGCCGUGGCAGCUCACAGUAGCAGAGGCGCCCCCCUCCUGACAGGUUCGCCAAGGUUGGUCGACGAGCAGUCAUGGCAGCGGGAAGCAGACUUGCACCGAAGCCUUGGUAUACCGGAGUACACCACAGAGAACACAGCAAGCAAGUGCAUCUGAGGAUGCCCCCCUUCGUGCCAUCCCCAGCCGACACACUCCACCCUGUCGUGCUGCUCCUGUGGAGUGUCAUUUGGUGCACCCGUUGCAUGCUCUGUGGUACACCGGUGUACCCUCAAUUAUGUAGACCGACCCCGCCCCUCAGGCUCCCCCACCUGCUGUCUUACCGUGCACGGAAACCGUGGGCUGGGCAUGGCAGCUCGUCCUGCAGCCGACGGGGAUGGCACAGCAGCCGCCUCACCGCCACGGGCGUCCUCCUCCUGCAGGCCGCGUCACACAGAGUGAUGCACAUGAGGCAUGACAGGUUCGCCAAGGUUGGUCGACGAGCAGUCAUGGCAGCGGGAAGCAGACUUGCACCGAAGCCUUGGUAUACCGGAGUACACCACAGAGAACACAGCAAGCAAGUGCAUCUGAGGAUGCCCCCCUUCGUGCCAUCCCCAGCCGACACACUCCACCCCCUCGUGCUGCUCCUGUGGAGUGUCAUUUGGUGCACCCGUUGCAUGCUCUGUGGUACACCGGUGUACCCUCAAUUAUGUAGACCGACCCCGCCCCUCAGGCUCCCCCACCUGCUGUCUUACCGUGCACGGAAACCGUGGGCUGGGCAUGGCAGCUCGUCCUGCAGCCGACGGGGAUGGCACAGCAGCCGCCUCACCGCCACGGGCGUCCUCCUCCUGCAGGCCGCGUCACACAGAGUGAUGCACAUGAGGCAUGACAGGUUCGCCAAGGUUGGUCGACGAGCAGUCAUGGCAGCGGGAAGCAGACUUGCACCGAAGCCUUGGUAUACCGGAGUACACCACAGAGAACACAGCAAGCAAGUGCAUCUGAGGAUGCCCCCCUUCGUGCCAUCCCCAGCCGACACACUCCACCCCCUCGUGCUGCUCCUGUGGAGUGUCAUUUGGUGCACCCGUUGCAUGCUCUGUGGUACACCGGUGUACCCUCAAUUAUGUAGACCGACCCCGCCCCUCAGGCUCCCCCACCUGCUGUCUUACCGUGCACGGAAACCGUGGAGCGGCAUCAUCUGUAUCAUUGCGUCCCCUGUCUAUCUCCCGUUGCUGCUCCUCAUCGUCCGCCACCAGCCGGGUCAUGUUUGGGGCCCGCUUUCGCUUCCUGGUCUCGUUGCACACAUCAAAGCCUAGAUGAACCAGCUCCUCUGACUGCAGGAGCAGCGACAGGGGACGGACGGGGGUCAGGGAGACCGCACGACACUCAAGGUGCGACCAUACUCCCCCCUGCCAUGCAUGAGCUUGGUCUUGAUCUCACCCAUAAUCCUACCUGUUCGCCUGCUUCUGAAGGGGCCAGCCCAUUGCUCUGGCCAGCACCAGAGACCUCUGUGCCAUCCUCGGACACCCCAUACUCGCCAGCAUCACCAGUGCCGCCGUGCUUCACCGGGUCCACCAUGGCAGCAUCACCUCCCUGGGUGGAUGGUGACAGGCAAGAAGAUCGUGCGUGUGUGUUAUGGGUGCGGGAAGGAUGGAAGGCCGCGGGCCGGCGACAGGGCAGUGGUACAUACCUCAGCUCCCCCGGAGGUCACCACCUCCUCACCAGCCUUCAAAGCUUCUUCAUUCCCCUGUGACAUACACAAUCUGUUUGUAAAGGUGCCCAUGCAUAUCGCUCCCCGCCCCAGCCCUGGAGCUGGAAACCCACCGUUGUCAUGGUCCUGUCAGCCGCGCUGGCUGCCUGUGACGUGAUGACACUGGCGGCACGGAGGUGAAGCGCAAAGCUUGAAGCGGCAUGCUCAGACAAAGCCGUGCUGCGUGCAGGGACCCCUGGCAUGGUACACAACCCGCUGCUGUGCUCAGGGAGGCUGCCAGCGGCGUGCUGGCUGCCUGGCAGCCCACACUCAGCAGCUAUCGGCGGCAAAGCUGCUGCAUUCUUGAUGAUCU